rnacentral:misc_RNA from 1 species
AACGCAUAUUGCGCUCUUUGGUAUUCCGAAGAGCAUGCUUGUUUGAGUAUCAGUAAACACCUCAAAGCCUUCAAUUCAGUUUGGAAGCUUUGGACUUGAGCAAUCCCAACACCAGUCUCGCGACUGGCGGAGGGCUGCUUGAAAUGCAGGUGCAGCUGGACAUUCUCCUGAGCUAUAAGCAUAUUUAUUUAGUCCUGUCAAACGGAUUAUUACUUUUGCUGCAGCUAACAUAAAGGGAGUCUGACCGUAUUGGCUGACUGAUGCAGGAUUUCACAAGUGCUGGCAACAGCUUCUUGUAAAACUCGAUCUCAAAUCAAGUAAGACUACCCGCUGAACUUAA